GUGCUGGGGCGGCUGCGCUCCGGCGCUCGUUCCGGGCCGUGCCGGCGGCAGCGACGCUUGGUGAUGCCGGCCCCGUCCUCCCCGGCUCCAGCAGUCUGCAGCCAGAGCCUGCGGAAGCACUCGAGGUGAGGCCACCCCAGUGCAGAGCAGAGGGGACAGUCCCCUUCCUCAUCCAUCAGGCGAUGCUGUGCCUGAUGCACCCAGGACAAGGUUGGCCCGCACCUGAAGCAGUCUGGAGAAAGUCAGAGGCUCUGAUCAGUGCCUGCACCCUCUGCCAGAGGGUGCUCGUUGUACCAAGUGCCUGUUGGGGAUGCAAGAUGAGGGUAAUGAAACACAAACCUCACAGGAUUCUUUAAUUCUGCAUCCACAGCAGACGUCCAGACGUGCCCCUGCAGGGGUCUGUGGGAAUAAGGGGAAGGAGUGAGGCUUCCAGCUGCCUCUGGGCUCCAGCCAGCCUCCUCCUUUCCUGGGCUGCUUGCCGUGUCCCAUCGCCCCGCUCCACACGAGGGAGUGCUUACAAAGCGUUCGGACUCGCUCCCUCUGAGCUACCAGUCUGAAAAUCCAACCUACAGCUUGGGCAGAUUGGCCAAAACAAAGUGGCACAGAUAUUAAUAUUGCUUAUGUUGUACAGAAAAGGCACCACGAAGAUGCUUCUGCAAAUGCAGCCCUGCAGCCUUCUCUGCUCUUCCCAUCACUGGGACAUAAGAAAAAUGUGACUACCAGUAGCUGAAAAAUGUGACUACCAUUUUAUCUCUAUUUUAAAAUAAGGGAAAUCAAGCAAAGAGAGUGGGACACUCCCACCACUGCCUUGCACCCUGCGGGUGCCUGGCAGCUUCCAGUCAGUGAAGAGAUCUGCAUGUGCAGAACACUGGCUUUGAACUUACUGUCUUCUCUUGCCUGGGCCACUGGGAAGGGAUCUUCUGCUUGAGCAAGCCCAGCACUUGUGACUGAGGGAUGCCUGAGGCUCCUUAUAAAGGGAAGCUCAUGGCACCAGGCCCUGAUGUGGUCACCAGGACGGCUGUGGGGUCUCACAUGGGCAGCAGUGGAGAUGUGUGCAAGUGGCAGCAUUACCUUAUGUCAGGGUCACACUCUUGUCACUGGCCCAGGCCUGAACCAGCACUGGCCGAGCCAUGGCUGGGUCUGGCUGCCACUGAUCUCAGGAUGGAUCAAACCUGAAGCAACAACAAGAAUGUUCUGCCCUACUCCUAUUGCUACUCCCAGCAGUGACAUUGGAGGACAGUGGGACUUCCUUGCCAGGGUUAGUGCAGGCAGCAGUGACUCCCUGCUCCGAGGAGGGCACCAGACCCUGUCACCAGGAGCUGAGUCUGGGCAGUCACUGCCAUCCACCAGCAUCUGUACCCCACAGCCACUUCCCAGCACGUGGGAAGUGCCUCGGGCCAGUAGCCCUCCUCUUGGCUCCUCCUUCCCAGCAUGUGGUGAGAGCUGGGAGCCCACCAGGCACUACCAGGAGCUCGAGUGGUCCGCACCCUGUGCAUGCUGGAGCUACAGUGUCUCCCCUUGUAGCACUGGUGGUGGUGACGUGCUUGCUCUCACAGCACUGUAGCCAGCACAAGGCAAAGAGCCAGGCCAUCUGCACGCAGGCAGAGCAAAGGGGAAAAAAAAAAAGGAUUGCAAGCAUCCAGUGCCAGCGUGGCACAGCCCAAAUAAAAGGUUUGCAGAUGCUGCUCAGGCAGGAUUAGGCCUCCAAUGUGCUAAGUCUCGGCUCUCAGUGAGCCUAAUUGCUGCUGCAAUAAGCCCUGGCUGGUCCUUUCCUGAACCGUGCUCCCCACAGCCCCCCCAGCAAACUUUUUUUUUCCCCAGCAAAGCUUGUAUUUGCCAUGCAUAUGUCACCCCUCCCCCAAGCCGCCUGGUGGGGUCUGGCCAAGCAAAGGAGGGGAAAAGCAGGAAAUCUGCAUGUGCCACUUACUGCUCUGCUCUUCCCAGGAACUGUCCCCCCACUCUCCCCCUGUCCAGCACAGUCUGUGACUGCAUCCGUGAGAGCAGCCAGGCCCAGCAGCAGAGGCAGGACCAGGUGACAGCAUCAGUACCUGGCCACACACCCCCUGAGCUGCAAUAAGACACUUUCCAAACGGGAAUUACUGAUAUUUUAAUAAAACCCUCUGAUAAUUUUCCGUUACGUUUUGGCUGGUAGAUGAAACUGGAGGUGUUCCAGGAGAGCUGUCAAGGCAUGUGCAUGGGCUGGUUCAGCAACUGCCAUGAGAU
ensembl:lncRNA